rnacentral:rRNA from 1 species
GAUGAACGCUGGCGGCGUGCCUAAUACAUGCAAGUCGAGCGAACAGACGAGGAGCUUGCUCCUCUGACGUUAGCGGCGGACGGGGGAGUAACACGUGGAUAACCUACCUAUAAGACUGGGAUAACUUCGGGAAACCGGAGCUAAUACCGGAUAAUAUAUUGAACCGCGUGGUUCAAUAGUGAAAGACGGUUUUGCUGUCACUUAUAGAUGGAUCCGCGCCGCAUUAGCUAGUUGGUAAGGUAACGGCUUACCAAGGCAACGAUGCGUAGCCGACAUGAGAGGGUGAUCGGCCACACUGGAACGGAGACACGGUCCAGACUCCUACGGGAGGCAGCAGUAGGGAAUCUGACGCAAUGGGCGAAAACUUGACGGAGCGACGCCACGUGAGUGCUGAAGGUCUUCGGAGCGUAAAACUCUGUUAUGAGGGGAAAACAGAUGUGUAAGUAACUAUGCACGUAUUGACGGUACCUGAUCAAAAAGCAACGGCUAACUCCGUG